rnacentral:rRNA from 1 species
UACAGAGGGGGCAAGCGUUAUUCGGAAUUAUUGGGCGUAAAGGGCGCGUAGGCGGCCGUGCAAGUGGAAGGUGAAAUCCCUCGGCUCAACCGAGGAACUGCCUUUCAAACUGCUUGGCUUGAGUCCGGGAGAGGUGAGUGGAAUUCCCAGUGUAGCGGUGAAAUGCGUAGAUAUUGGGAGGAACACCAGUGGCGAAGGCGGCUCACUGGACCGGAACUGACGCUGAGGCGCGAAAAGCGUGGGGAGCAAACGGG